rnacentral:rRNA from 1 species
GACGAACGCUGGCGGCGUGCUUAACACAUGCAAGUCGAACGCUGAAGACCUGGCUUUUGUUGGGCUGGAUGAGUGGCGAACGGGUGAGUAACACGUGAGUAACCUGCCCUCUUCUUUGGGAUAACGCCCGGAAACGGGUGCUAAUACUGGAUAUUCACUGAUCUUAGAAUGGGGGUUGGUGGAAAGGGUUGUUCUGGUGGGGGAUGGGCUCGCGGCCUAUCAGUUGGUUGGUGGGGUGAUGGCCUACCAAGGCUUUGACGGGUAGUCGGCCUGCUGGGGGGACCGGUCACAUUGGGACUGCGCUACGGCCCAGACUCCUACGGGAGGCAGCAGUGGGGGAUAUUGCACAAUGUGCGAAAGCCUGAUGCAGCGACGCCGCGGGAGGGAUGGAGGCCUUCGGGUUGUAAACCUCUUUCGCUCAUGGUCAAGCCGCAACUGUGGGUUGUGGUGAGGGUAGUUGGUAAAGAAGCGCCGGCUAACUACGUG